rnacentral:misc_RNA from 1 species
CUCAAAUAUAACUCUCUUAAUUUAAAAAAAAAAAAAUCCACAAGAAAUUAUAGUGGCUGAGAUUACUCCUUAGUCCUGAAAUGUUGUUUCUGGUGUUUUAGGUCUCGCCGAAACUCCCUUUCGCUUCUCUCUACUUGCCUCUAUUGCUUUCUUUACUUCUCUCUAUAAACUCCUCUUGAUUUUCCUUUUUCCUUGUAUCUUCGUUAUUCCGAUCCACCAUCGCCGGAACUAUUAGUUCUCAUCUGAGUCUCCGGUGAGUACAGUACGUGCAUGAUCGGAGACUCCAUCCUUGCUUCUACAGUUGUAAUCCACCAUGGCUUUACCGGAAGGUACUUUUUCUUGCAUUUCUAGGGCUUUUCUGCUCUAUAACUCUCCAUUUGGUUGCCACAG